AAAAAAAAAUGUUCUCCCACGCUUUGGAGAUGUAUAUUGUAUAAUAUCACUGCUGCAUCAAGUGAGGUCUUAUCGUUCUUUCUGUAUGAAAGUUUCAGUCUUUUGAAAAAUGUGUAAAAGUCAC